rnacentral:SRP_RNA from 1 species
CCCGGGUAACUCGGCGUUACCUGUAACCCGAAACCGUCGAUAGCGGGGGGCGAAGCCAAGGGAAGAAGUUUUAACUGUUGUCCAACCCGCAAUUCUACUGUGAAACCCCGUCCUGUGGGGCUGGCGUCGGUACAGAGGCUUUUCUGAAGGAAGGUUUUUGUAUCUUAAUCAUGGACAAAGGUCCAGGCCCGGAAGGGAGCACACCGCCCGUGAACAACCAUCGCUCACGGGGGCGCGGGGCGGAGGCGAAGCUGCGAACCACUGGGCAAUGGAAGAAGCUACGACCCGAGGC